CGGAGAGUUUGAUCCUGGCUCAGAUUGAACGCUGGCGGCAUGCCUUACACAUGCAAGUCGAACGGCAGCACGGAGCUUGCUCUGGUGGCGAGUGGCGAACGGGUGAGUAAUAUAUCGGAACGUACCCUAGAGUGGGGGAUAACGUAGCGAAAGUUACGCUAAUACCGCAUACGAUCUAAGGAUGAAAGUGGGGGAUCGCAAGACCUCAUGCUCGUGGAGCGGCCGAUAUCUGAUUAGCUAGUUGGUAGGGUAAAAGCCUACCAAGGCAUCGAUCAGUAGCUGGUCUGAGAGGACGACCAGCCACACUGGAACUGAGACACGGUCCAGACUCCUACGGGAGGCAGCAGUGGGGAAUUUUGGACAAUGGGCGAAAGCCUGAUCCAGCAAUGCCGCGUGAGUGAAGAAGGCCUUCGGGUUGUAAAGCUCUUUUGUCAGGGAAGAAACGGUGAAAGCUAAUAUCUUUUGCUAAUGACGGUACCUGAAGAAUAAGCACCGGCUAACUACGUGCCAGCAGCCGCGGUAAUACGUAGGGUGCAAGCGUUAAUCGGAAUUACUGGGCGUAAGCGUGCGCAGGCGGUUUUGUAAGUCUGAUGUGAAAUCCCCGGGCUCAACCUGGGAAUUGCAUUGGAGACUGCAAGGCU
rnacentral:rRNA from 1 species